rnacentral:rRNA from 1 species
AGCGGCGGACGGGUGAGUAACGCGUGGGUAACCUACCCUGUACACACGGAUAACAUACCGAAAGGUAUGGUAAUACGAGAUAAUAUGCUUUUAUCGCAUGGUAGAAGUAUCAAAGCUCCGGCGGUACAGGAUGGACCCGCGUCUGAUUAGCUAGUUGGUAAGGUAACGGCUUACCAAGGCGACGAUCAGUAGCCGACCUGAGAGGGUGAUCGGCCACAUUGGAACUGAGACACGGUCCAAACUCCUACGGGAGGCAGCAGUGGGGAAUAUUGCACAAUGGGCGAAAGCCUGAUGCAGCAACGCCGCGUGAGCGAUGAAGGCCUUCGGGUCGUAAAGCUCUGUCCUCAAGGAAGAUAAUGACGGUACUUGAGGAGGAAGCCCCGGCUAACUACGUGCCAGCAGCCGCGGUAAUACGUAGGGGGCUAGCGUUAUCCGGAAUUACUGGGCGUAAAGGGUGCGUAGGUGGUUUCUUAAGUCAGAGGUGAAAGGCUACGGCUCAACCGUAGUAAGCCUUUGAAACAGGGAAACUUGAGUGCAGGAGAGGAGAGUGGAAUUCCUAGUGUAGCGGUGAAAUGCGUAGAUAUUAGGAGGAACACCAGUUGCGAAGGCGGCUCUCCGGACUGUAACUGACACUGAGGCACGAAAGCGUGGGGAGCAAACAGGAUUAGAUACCCUGGUAGUCCACGCCGUAAACGAUGAGUACUAGCUGU